GACCCCGUAGCUCAGUGGAUAGAGCGCUUGGCUACGAACCAAGAGGCCGGGCGUUCAAAUCGCCCCGGGGUCA
rnacentral:tRNA from 1 species